rnacentral:rRNA from 1 species
AGAGUUUGAUCAUGGCUCAGAUUGAACGCUGGCGGCAGGCCUAACACAUGCAAGUCGAGCGGAAACGAGUUAUCAGAACCUUCGGGGACGAUAACGGCGUCGAGCGGCGGACGGGUGAGUAAUGCCUAGGAAAUUGCCCUGAUGUGGGGGAUAACCAUUGGAAACGAUGGCUAAUACCGCAUGAUGCCUACGGGCCAAAGAGGGGGACCUUCGGGCCUCUCGCGUCAGGAUAUGCCUAGGUGGGAUUAGCUAGUUGGUGAGGUAAGGGCUCACCAAGGCGACGAUCCUAGCUGGUCUGAGAGGAUGAUCAGCCACACUGGAACUGAGACACGGUCCAGACUCCUACGGGAGGCAGCAGUGGGGAAUAUUGCACAAUGGGCGCAAGCCUGAUGCAGCCAUGCCGCGUGUGUGAAGAAGGCCUUCGGGUUGUAAAGCACUUUCAGUCGUGAGGAAGGUAGUGUAGUUAAUAGCUGCAUUAUUUGACGUUAGCGACAGAAGAAGCACCGGCUAACUCCGUGCCAGCAGCCGCGGUAAUACGGAGGGUGCGAGCGUUAAUCGGAAUUACUGGGCGUAAAGCGCAUGCAGGUGGUUUGUUAAGUCAGAUGUGAAAGCCCGGGGCUCAACCUCGGGAAUUGCAUUUGAAACUGGCAGACUAGAGUACUGUAGAGGGGGGUAGAAUUUCAGGUGUAGCGGUGAAAUGCGUAGAGAUCUGAAGGAAUACCGGUGCGAAGGCGCCCCCUGGACAGAUACUGACACUCAGAUGCGAAAGCGUGGGGAGCAAACAGGAUUAGAUACCCUGGUAGUCCACGCCGUAAACGAUGUCUACUUGGAGGUUGUGGCCUUGAGCCGUGGCUUUCGGAGCUAACGCGUUAAGUAGACCGCCUGGGGAGUACGGUCGCAAGAUUAAAACUCAAUGAAUUGACGGGGGCCCGCACAAGCGGUGGAGCAUGUGGUUUUAAUUCGAUGCAACGCGAAGAAACCUUACCUACUCUUGACAUCCAGAGAACUUUCCAGAGAUGGAUUGUGUGCCUUCGGGAACUCUGAGACAGGUGCUGCAUGGCUGUCGUCAGCUCGUGUUGUGAAAUGUUGGGUUAAGUCCCGCAACGAGCGCAACCCUUAUCCUUGUUUGCCAGCGAGUAAUGUCGGGAACUCCAGGGAGACUGCCGGUGAUAAACCGGAGGAAGGUGGGGACGACGUCAAGUCAUCAUGGCCCUUACGAGUAGGGCUACACACGUGCUACAAUGGCGCAUACAGAGGGCAGCCAACUUGCGAAAGUGAGCGAAUCCCAAAAAGUGCGUCGUAGUCCGGAUUGGAGUCUGCAACUCGACUCCAUGAAGUCGGAAUCGCUAGUAAUCGUGGAUCAGAAUGCCACGGUGAAUACGUUCCCGGGCCUUGUACACACCGCCCGUCACACCAUGGGAAGUGGCUGCAAAAGAAGUAGGUAGUUUAACCUUCGGGGGGACGCUUACCACUUUGUGGUUCAUGACUGGGGUGAAGUCGUAACAAGGUAGCGCUAGGGGAACCUGGCGCUG